rnacentral:rRNA from 1 species
AGAAUGAACGCUGGCGGCGUGCUUUACACAUGCAAGUCGAGCGAGGCGUGUAGCAAUACACAGUCGAGCGGCGAACGGGUGAGUAACACGUGGAUCAUCUACCUUCAGGUGGGGGAUAACCCGGGGAAACUCGGGCUAAUACCGCAUAACAUCGUGAGAUCAAAGGGGCGCAAGUCCCGCCAGAAGAGAGUCCGCGUUCGAUUAGCUAGUUGGUAGGGUAAUGGCCUACCAAGCGACGAUGGGUAGC